AGUAGACUGUUUACCAGGUUGAUAUUAAUGAGUGGUAAUAUGUUGUAGUAGACUGUUUACCAGGUUGAUAUUAAUGAGUGGUAAUAUGUUGUAGUAGACUGUUUACCAGGUUGAUAUUAAUGAGUGGUAAUAUGUUGUAGUAGACUGUUUACCAGGUUGAUAUUAAUGAGUGGUAAUAUGUUGUAGUAGACUGUUUACCAGGUUGAUAUUAAUGAGUGGUAAUAUGUUGUAGUAGACUGUUUACCAGGUUGAUAUUAAUGAGUGGUAAUAUGUUGUAGUAGACUGUUUACCAGGUUGAUAUUAAUGAGUGGUAAUAUGUUGUAGUAGACUGUUUACCAGGUUGAUAUUAAUGAGUGGUAAUAUGUUGUAGUAGACUGUUUACCAGGUUGAUAUUAAUGAGUGGUAAUAUGUUGUAGUAGACUGUUUACCAGGUUGAUAUUAAUGAGUGGUAAUAUGUUGUAGUAGACUGUUUACCAGGUUGAUAUUAAUGAGUGGUAAUAUGUUGUAGUAGACUGUUUACCAGGUUGAUAUUAAUGAGUGGUAAUAUGUUGUAGUAGACUGUUUACCAGGUUGAUAUUAAUGAGUGGUAAUAUGUUGUAGUAGACUGUUUACCAGGUUGAUAUUAAUGAGUGGUAAUAUGUUGUAGCAGACUGUUUACCAGGUUGAUAUUA